rnacentral:tRNA from 1 species
AAUUAGAUAAGCUAAAAUUAAGCUGUUGGGUUCAUACCCCAAUUAUGGAUCUAUCCUCUAAUUA